GGGGUUGUAGCUCAAUUGGUAGAGCGCUUGCAUGGCAUGCAAGAGGUAAGCGGUUCAAUCCCGCUCAGCUCCACCA
rnacentral:tRNA from 1 species